rnacentral:rRNA from 1 species
GGUUAAAAAGCUCGUAGUUGGAUCUCGGCGGUCUGAGGGCGGUUCGCUUGAUUGAGUGCUACUGCUCUAUAGGCCGUGGUUUUGCCAGAGGUCUCGGGGUGCUCUUAACCGAGUGUCCUGCGAUGCUGGCAGGUUUACUUUGAAAAAAUUAGAGUGCUCAAAGCAGGCUUUUACGCCUGAAUAUUCGCGCAUGGAAUAAUAGAAUAGGAAGUCGUUUCUAUUUUGUUGGUUUUCGGAAAUCGACUUAAUGAUUAAUAGGGACAGUCGGGGGCAUUUGUAUUCAAACGACAGAGGUGAAAUUCUUGGACCGUUUGAAGACAAACUACUGCGAAAGCAUUUGCCAAGAAUGUUUUCAUUAAUCAAGAACGAAAGUUAGAGGUUCGAAGGCGAUUAGAUACCGCCCUAGUUCUAACCAUAAACGAUGCCAGCUAGCGAUCUGCCGACGUUUUCUUUGUAGACUCGGCAGGAAGCUUCCGGGAAACCAAAGCAUUUGGGUUCCAGGGGAAGUAUGGUUGCAAAGCUGAAACUUAAAGGAAUUGGCGGAAGGGCACCACCAGGAGUGGAGCCUGUGGCUUAAUUUGACUCAACACGGGAAAUCUCACCAGGCCCGGACACUGGAAGGAUUGACAGAUUGAUAGCUCUU